CACGUAGGGCGCAAGCGUUGUCCGGAAUUAUUGGGCGUAAAGAGCUCGUAGGCGGUCUGUUACGUCUGCUGUGAAAACCCGGGGCUUAACCCUGGGCUGGCAGUGGAUACGGACAGACUAGAGGUAGGUAGGGGAGAAUGGAAUUCCCGGUGUAGCGGUGAAAUGCGCAGAUAUCGGGAGGAACACCAAUGGCGAAGGCAGCUCGCUGGGACGGUACUGACACUGAGACGCGAAAGCGUGGGGAGCAAACAGG
rnacentral:rRNA from 1 species